UUGUGACUUAAAUCACCUUAUUUUAUUUGAAUGUUUCUUUAGCAACAUAGAUUAUUAAAGUUUACCUGAUAAACGUUACCAAUAUCCGGAUGUAUCAGUAGCUACAGGAAAUAUUAUUUAUCUUACCUUUUGUGAGCUACGAUAUGCCAGUUGGACAUUUGGACAGUGUUGAUGGAACUACAACAACAAAAGUUAAAGAUAAGAAGAUAAAAAAAUCGGAUAAGAAAUACUACGAUGUAAAGAAGACUAUAGCUGAAUGCUUGCUAGACUUGGCCAUUCUGAUAAUCAACAUCUUCAUGGUAAAAGCCGUUGUGGAUACUGGACCUAAAAAUGCAUAUUUCGAAACACUAGUUGUUCUCCUUUCAUUUUCAAUUUUCUGUCAAAUUUUUGUUGGUUUUCUUCUGUUGGUCAUCGGAAUUGGAGAAAGCAAGGAUAUCAGUAAUAAAGUAUGGCUGCAUCGAUUCAAUACUGUCAACGUAGCGUUUAUUAUGCUGAUUGCCAUCUUGAAUAUUAUCAUCGGUGCUAUAGGAAUUGAACUCAAUUCUGGUGAUAAUUCGAAAUACAAUAGGACUUUAGAUGAUUAAUAUCCUGAAGUGAAAUUCCUGUUAAAACUUCAAACGAGAUUUUGUUAUAUUUUAUCACAUUUAAAUGAGAUAUCAACUAUGAAAAAUAAAUUGAAAUAAAACAA